UGUGUAACACGCUUAGGAUCAUUUGAGAUUAUGUGAUCAAUCAAGGUCUCACUGUGAGGUGUAACUCUUGUUGGCUUUUGCACGUGCUGUGUUAGGUUAAACGUGUUCAAUAAAUCUGUAUACUGUUUUGUUAACGGCGCAUUUGGCUUCAGCACGUCAAUAUUUAAAUCCCCAGUAACAAGCAAUAAACCGUCCCACGAAGUUGACAGAUCCGCCAACAUGCUCUCCAUUUGGGAUAUCCACUGUUGGGUAUCUAGUAUUCUUGUGGAUCUGUAUAUCGUUCCCAUUAAUAAGUGACUAUGUUU